AAUGAUAUGCCUGAAUUAAAAGGAUUAUUUUGAUGAAAUAAAUUAUGUAUAUUUUAUAAUAUACUUUCAUUA
rnacentral:tRNA from 1 species